GACGAACGCUGGCGGCGUGCUUAACACAUGCAAGUCGAACGGAAAGGCCCGGCCUUGUUGGGGUGGGCGAGUGGCGAACGGGUGAGUAACACGUGAGUAACCUACCCUUGACUGUGGGAUAAGCUCAGGAAGCUGGGUCUAAUACCGGAUAGGAGCUCUCGCCGCAUGGUGGGGGUUGGAAAGUUUCGGCGGUUGGUGGUGGACUCGCCGCCCAUCGGCUUGUUGGUGGGGUAGUGUCAUAGCAAGGCCUGGAAGGGAAGGCGGGCGGGGAGGGUAACAGGCCCAAUUGGACUGGGAAUGCGACACGGACCCGUACGGGAGGCGGCGGUGGGGAAUAUUGCACAAUGGGAGGAGCGCUGACGUAGCAAAGCCGCGUGGGGGAUGAGGUCAUUGGGUUGGGAAUCUGCUUUCGCCUGUGACGAGGCGUUAGUGACGGUAACGGGAGAAGAAGCACCGGCUAACUACGUG
rnacentral:rRNA from 1 species